rnacentral:rRNA from 1 species
CCUACGGGAGGCAGCAGUAGGGAAUCUUCCACAAUGGGCGAAAGCCUGAUGGAGCAACGCCGCGUGGGUGAAGAAGGUCUUCGGAUCGUAAAACCCUGUUGUUAGAGAAGAAAGUGCGUGAGAGUAACUGUUCACGUUUCGACGGUAUCUAACCAGAAAGCCACGGUCAACUACGUGCCAGCAGCCGCGGUAAUACGUAGGUGGCAAGCGUUAUCCGGAUUUAUUGGGCGUAAAGGGAACGCAGGCGGUCUUUUAAGUCUGAUGUGAAAGCCUUCGGCUUAACCGGAGUAGUGCAUUGGAAACUGGGAGACUGGAGUGCAGAAGAGGUGAGUGGAACUCGAGGUGUAGCGGUGAAAUGCGUAGAUAUAUGGAAGAACACCAGUGGCGAAGGCGGCUCUCUGGUCUGUAACUGACGCUGAGGUUCGAAAGCGUGGGUAGCAAACAGGAUUAGAUACCCGGGUAGUC